rnacentral:rRNA from 1 species
CCUACGGGUGGCAGCAGUGGGGAAUAUUGCGCAAUGGGCGAAAGCCUGACGCAGCGACGCAGCGUGAGGGAUGAAGGUCUUCGGAUCGUAAACCUCUGUCAGCAGGGAAGAAGGGUCACUGUGCUAAUAAGCAGGGAAUUGACGGUACCUGCAAAGGAAGCAACGGCUAACUCCGUGCCAGCAGCCGCGGUAAGACGGAGGGUGCGAGCGUUAAUCGGAAUGACUGGGCGUAAAGCGUUCGUAGGCGGUAUGUCAAGGAAAGGGUGAAAUCCCCGCGCUCAACGUGGGAACUGUAUUUGAUACUGGCAAACUGGAGUGUGUGAGAGGAUGGUGGAAUUCCAGGUGUAGGAGUGAAAUCCGUAGAGAUCUGGAGGAACAUCAGUGGCGAAGGCGACUAUCUGGCACAUAACUGACGCUGAGGAGCGAAAGCGUGGGUAGCAAACAGGAUUAGAUACCCGUGUAGUC